AAUCUACUUCCUCCGUUCCGAAUUACUUGUUGCAGGUAUGGAUUUAUCUAGAUGUAUUUUAGUUUUAGAUACAUCUAUUUUUCUGUGAUGAGUAAUUUGGAAUGGAGGGAGUGUUAG
rfam:Triticum aestivum genome assembly, contig: Triticum_aestivum_CS42_TGACv1_scaffold_471250_6AL